GUGGGGAAUAUUGGGCAAUGGGCGCAAGCCUGACCCAGCAACGCCGCGUGAAGGAAGAAGGUUUUCGGAUUGUAAACUUCUUUUAAGAGGGACGAAGAAAGUGACGGUACCUCUUGAAUAAGCCACGGCUAACUACGUGCCAGCAGCCGCGGUAAUACGUAGGUGGCAAGCGUUAUCCGGAUUUACUGGGUGUAAAGGGCGUGUAGGCGGGAAUGCAAGUCAGAUGUGAAAAUUAUGGGCUCAACCCAUAACCUGCAUUUGAAACUGUGUUUCUUGAGUGAUGGAGAGGCAGGCGGAAUUCCGUGUGUAGCGGUGAAAUGCGUAGAUAUACGGAGGAACACCAGUGGCGAAGGCGGCCUGCUGGACAUUAACUGACGCUGAGGCGCGAAAGCGUGGGGAGCAAACAGGAUUAGAAACCCUAGUAGUCC
rnacentral:rRNA from 1 species